rnacentral:rRNA from 1 species
GACGAACGCUGGCGGCGUGCUUAACACAUGCAAGUCGAACGGAAAGUCCCUGCUUGCAGGGUCCUCGAGUGGCGAACGGGUGAGUAACACGUGGGGGAUCUGCCCUGCACUUCGGGAUAAGCCUUGGUAACUGGGUCUAAUACCGGAUAGGAGCCUUAUUUAGUGUGAUUGUUGGAAAGUUUUUUCGGUGUAGUAUGAGCUCGCGGCCUAUCAGCUUGUUGGUGGGGUAAUGGCCUAACAAGGCGGAGACGGGUAGCCGGCCUGGGAGGGUGGACGGCAACAGUGAGACUGGGACUGAGACAAGACUCCUACGGGAGGGAGAGGUAGGGGAUAGUAAUAUAUGGGCGCAGGCGUGAUGCAGAUCCACCGCGGGGGGGAUGACGAUCUUGGGGUUGUAAUUGUAUAGCGCUAGGGACGAAGAUUUUUAUGACGGUACCUAGAUAAGAAGCACCGGCUAACUACGUG